UAUAAAAAAAAUCAUACUUACCCCAAUAUUUUGAAUGGUAACAAACGCUGUUAAGACUUUAUCUAUGUCGAUAGUCAUCAUCUAUGUGUUGUUACUUUUACAUGUCCACUGUUAUUUUUUAUUUUUUCAGUUGGAGGGCAAAAACUACAGCCAUGAAAUGUCAAAAUAUUUAUUUUGACCUUAUUAUAUGAGUUAGUUUAUGCUGGAGAAAGGUUGGUCUGUUGGUAUUAUGUCCCUCUGACAAAAGGAUUUGGCUACUGACAAGAAAACAGACCGGGUAGCAUUAGCAACCUUACGGUAUUGUUGUUUACUAAUGGAAUUGGAGUUUUUAAAUAUUCUUUUAUUUUGCACUCCCUUUGUGUUUUCUAUUAGUCCUUAGAGACUGAAAUUACCUGUGAUCUGGGAGUAAAAUCAUCUGACAGAUGAGAAAUUUUAUCACUUUGAACUGUGGCAAAAGGAUUAAGAUCCUGCAGUUGUGCCUGUACAUUAUGAGAGCACCGCACAUUGUGUCCUGCUGCUAUAUAUUAGGAUGCAACUUUCACAAAAUAUUCACAUAGGGCUCCUGUCAUUGAAAUUGCGAAAGACUUCAGUGUACACAUGGUACACACUGACAAAGCAUGUAUUUUCUUAAUAAACUUAUUUUCAUGAUGCCUG